UUUGAUUUGUACAUAAACAAGAACAAUCUGGUUCACUCGACUCCCUCUUGACAAGCCUUUUGUCACGAUUAAUCAUUAGUCUUAUGAGAGGUAGCUUCUGCACAACUUCACGCCAUAUUUCAUUCACAGUUCCAUUUGAAUUGCCAUAUUCAAAAUAUCGUCUCACCUCUUUCAGCUCUUUCUGAUAUUCCAGAAUCCUCUCUGUGGUUACUUCUCUUAGCAUUUUAACUAAAUAUCCUGGCUUUAGAGAAGCUUUUGUUCCUAUAAAGAUUGCAAUCUUUGUGUAGUCUAUAACAUAUUCAAAAGGUAACUCAAUGCUAUCACUGACUAUUACUGGAACACACAAG
rnacentral:misc_RNA from 1 species